CGCCUGGUUGCCAGGGAACUGGUGAGCCGGAAGCCCCGCCCGCUGAGCUGUUGUUGUGACGGUGACAGGCCCGGCCCGACCUGGUACCAACCCCCCGGCCGGACCUCCGGGCACCGACCCCCGCUGGCUCCGCUUCGCCCCGCACCAUGAAGUGGAUGUUCAAGGAGGAUCAUGCGCUGGAGCACAGAUGUGUAGAGUCUGCAAAAAUCCGAGCCAAAUACCCAGACCGUGUGCCGGUCAUUGUGGAAAAGGUCUCAGGCUCUCAGAUUGUUGACAUUGAUAAGAGGAAGUAUCUGGUUCCGUCUGACAUCACUGUGGCCCAAUUCAUGUGGAUCAUCAGGAAGAGGAUUCAACUGCCAUCUGAGAAAGCAAUAUUCCUCUUUGUAGACAAGACUGUCCCACAGUCCAGCACCAAGCCUGAUACCAACAGUUCCACUGAGAAUGUUAAGGUUGCAUGAUUAAAUGCUCAAAAGUGAAUACCAGUGUCAGGAUUCUUGGAACAACCCUUAAAUCUGCCCCCUGCCUAACUAUGGGACAGCUUUAUGAGAAGGAGAAGGAUGAGGAUGGAUUCUUGUAUGUGGCCUACAGUGGAGAAAACACAUUUGGCUUCUGAAUGCUGGUGUCUGGCUGCUGCACCAUCCUGCUAUGUAUCUUGUAAAUAGCCAAUUGUUUUCAGUUAUGACACCCACAGAGGUUUCUCCCAUACACAUCAUGCAUUUGUAACUGGAUUAAUUUCCUAAUAUAUUGAUAGGCCUUGUUUUAUUAGACUGGUAAAUUAUCGGGAUUUUUUCCUUUAUUGUGCAUUGUCCUCAUAGCUAUAAGUUCCCAGAGCCUCACCCCUCUGGAACACAUAUUUAAUGACAUUGUUUAUAUAUUGACGCAAAGUAGUUGGGCUACUAAAACAUGAAAAAGAGGAACAUGCAUUUAUUCUGGAUUUAGUUUGAGGUGUUAGCUUGACAAGAAUUAAAAUAUUAAUUAUUCUUAGGAACAACACUGGCUUCACUAGGUUAUUCUGAGCAGUAGCAAGAUGCUUAGCAUAUUGAACUAAGUUAAUGUUCCUCUUUCUGAAUUCUAUUAAGGAAUAACUACAAUAAAAAUUCCUCCCACACACAUGUUGUGUGGCCAAUGUC